rnacentral:rRNA from 1 species
AAUCAACGCUGGCGGCGUGCCUCAGACAUGCAAGUCGAACGAGAAAGUCCCUUCGGGGAUAAGUAAAGUGGCGCACGGGUGAGUAACACGUAGGUAAUCUACCUUCGGGUGGGGAAGUAACCCAGGGAAACUUGGGCUAACACCGCAUAAUGCAGCGGCACCACAUGGUGACAGUUGUUAAAGCGGGGAGUUUUCGACCUCGCGCCUGAAGAGGAGCCUGCGGCGGAUUAGCUAGUUGGUAAGGAACGGCUUACCAAGGCAACGAUCCGUAGCCGGCCUGAGAGGGCGGUCGGCA